rnacentral:rRNA from 1 species
AUUGAACGCUGGCGGCAGGCCUAACACAUGCAAGUCGAGCGAGCGGCGGACGGGUGAGUGAUGUCUGGGAAACUGCCUGAUGGAGGGGGAGAACUACUGGAAAAGGGAGCUAAUACCGCACACCAUCAGAGUUGCCCCGAUGGGAUUAGCGAGUAGGUGGGGGGACGGCGCACCUAGGCGCCGAUCCCUAGCUGGUCUGAGAGGAGGACCAGCCACACGGGAACUGAGACACGGUCCAGUGUCCAUCGGGAGGCAGCAGUGGGGAAUAUUGCACAAUGGGCGCAAGCCUGAUGCAGCCAUGCCGCGGGUAUGAAGGAGGCCUUCGGGUUGUAAAGUACUUUCAGCGAGGAGGCGUUACCCGCAGAAGAAGCACCGGCUAACUCCGUGCCAGCAGCCGCGGUAAUAC